rnacentral:sRNA from 1 species
AAACCUCGCCCAGAUUCAGGCGUGUAAACCAGCCGGAGCGGCGCGGCAGCGGCAGGACCGCCGUGGCGCCUAGAGUAGCGACCCGGGGGGAGCGCGGGGCGACGCUGGCUGCAGGGACCCGGUGACAGUGUAUGCUUGAAAUCUUGGAUACUGCAGGAACGGAGCAAUUUACAGCAAUGAGGGAUUUAUACAUGAAAAAUGGACAAGGAUUUGCAUUAGUUUAUUCCAUCACAGCACAGUCCACAUUUAACGAUUUACAAGACCUGAGAGAACAGAUUCUUCGAGUUAAAGACACUGAUGAUGUUCCAAUGAUUCUUGUUGGUAAUAAGUGUGACUUGGAAGAUGAAAGAGUUGUAGGGAAGGAACAAGGUCAAAAUCUAGCAAGACAAUGGAACAACUGUGCAUUCUUAGAAUCUUCUGCAAAAUCAAAAAUAAAUGUUAAUGAGAUCUUUUAUGACCUAGUGCGGCAAAUUAACAGAAAAACUCCAGUGCCUGGGAAGGCUCGCAAAAAGUCAUCAUGUCAGCUGCUUUAAUAUACUAAAUGCAUUGUAGCUCUGAGCCAGGUCUGAAGAACUGUUGCCCAAUUCAACAGUGCCAGCAUUCCAACUUUGUUAAACCUACCAACAUCUUAAAUGGACUUUCCUGUGGUGGUACCCUUUAAGAGGCGGAUGAAAGCUACUAUAUCAGUUUGCACAUUCUAAUCACUUUCCAGUAUCACAAGAGAGAUUUUUACUUAUAUAAUAGUCCUAGAGUAUGCAGCUGGUAAAACCAGAGGCUACAU